GCUGAGGCGGGAGCUGCGGCGGCGCUGGGCGCCGCUGGCCCCUCAGCCUCUGCCGGCCAUGGGCUCCGAGAAGGACUCCGAGUCGCCGCGCUCCACCUCGCUCCAUGCGGCCGCCCCCGACCCUAAGUGCCGCAGCGGCGGCCGGCGCCGGCGCCUCACCUUCCAUAGCGUCUUCUCUGCCUCGGCCCGCGGUCGCCGCGCCCGGACCAAGCCGCAGGCCGAGCCGCCGCCCCCGGCCGCUCCGCCGCCUCCCGCCCCGGCCCCGGCUGAGGCCCAGGCCCCGCCGAUGGAAGCGCUGCCCGCCGAGCCCGCUGUCGAGGCUGAGGCGGAGGCCGCGGCUGCGGGGCCGGAGGAGGACGAGGCGGCCGAGGGCGGCGGCUCGGAGGAGGUGGAGUGCCCGCUGUGCCUGGUGCGCCUGCCGCCCGAGCGGGCCCCGCGCCUCCUCAGCUGCCCGCAUCGCUCGUGCCGGGACUGCCUCCGCCACUACCUGCGCCUGGAGAUCAGCGAGAGCCGCGUGCCCAUCAGCUGCCCCGAGUGCAGCGAGCGGCUCAACCCACACGACAUCCGUCUGCUGCUGGCCGACCCGCCGCUCAUGCACAAGUACGAAGAGUUCAUGCUGCGCCGGUACCUGGCCUCGGACCCUGACUGCCGCUGGUGUCCCGCCCCUGACUGCGGUUAUGCUGUUAUUGCCUAUGGCUGUGCCAGCUGCCCAAAGCUAACCUGUGAGAGGGAAGGCUGCCAGACUGAGUUCUGUUACCACUGCAAGCAGAUAUGGCAUCCAAACCAGACCUGCGAUAUGGCCCGUCAGCAGAGGGCUCAGACUUUACGAGUUCGGACCAAGCACACUUCAGGUCUCAGCUAUGGGCAAGAAUCUGGACCAGUAGAUGACAUCAAGCCAUGCCCACGAUGUAGUGCUUACAUUAUCAAGAUGAAUGAUGGAAGCUGUAAUCACAUGACCUGUGCAGUGUGUGGCUGUGAAUUCUGCUGGCUUUGCAUGAAAGAGAUCUCCGACUUGCAUUACCUCAGCCCCUCUGGCUGUACAUUCUGGGGCAAGAAGCCAUGGAGCCGGAAGAAGAAGAUUCUUUGGCAGUUGGGCACAUUGAUCGGUGCUCCGGUGGGGAUCUCGCUCAUUGCUGGCAUUGCGAUUCCUGCCAUGGUCAUUGGCAUUCCUGUUUACGUUGGGAGGAAGAUUCACAGCAGAUAUGAGGGAAGGAAAACCUCCAAACACAAGAGGAACUUGGCCAUCACAGGAGGAGUGACCUUGUCAGUCAUCGCGUCCCCAGUGAUCGCUGCUGUUAGUGUUGGUAUUGGUGUCCCUAUUAUGCUGGCGUAUGUUUAUGGGGUUGUACCCAUUUCUCUCUGUCGUGGAGGUGGCUGUGGGGUUAGCACAGCCAAUGGAAAGGGGGUGAAAAUUGAGUUUGAUGAAGAUGAUGGUCCAAUCACAGUGGCAGAUGCCUGGCGGGCCCUCAAGAACCCCAGCAUAGGGGAAAGCAGCAUUGAAGGCCUGACUAGUGUGCUGAGCACCAGUGGGAGCCCUACAGAUGGACUCAGUGUUAUGCAAGGCCCUUAUAGUGAAACAGCCAGCUUUGCUGCCCUUUCUGGGGGUACACUGAGUGGUGGUAUUCUCUCCAGCGGCAAGGGAAAAUACAGCAGGUUAGAAGUCCAAGCCGAUGUCCAAAAGGAAGUUUUCCCCAAAGACACAGCCAGUCUCGGUGCAAUUAGUGACAACGCGAGCACUCGUGCUAUGGCCGGCUCCAUAAUCAGUUCCUACAACCCACAGGACAGAGAGUGCAACAAUAUGGAAAUCCAAGUGGACAUUGAAGCCAAACCAAGUCACUAUCAGUUGGUGAGUGGAAGCAGCACAGAGGACUCGCUCCACGUCCAUGCUCAGAUGGCAGAGAAUGAGGAGGAGGGUCCUGCUGGCGGUGGGGGUGCUGGCGGCGGGGGCGGUGGUGGCAGUGAAGAGGAUCCUUCUUGCAAACACCAAAACUGUGAACAGAAAGACUGCCUGGCCAGCAAAGCUUGGGACAUCAGCCUAGCCCAGCCUGAAAGCAUCCGCAGUGACCUAGAAAGCUCGGACACGCAGUCAGAUGACGUGCCAGACAUCACUUCAGAUGAGUGCGGCUCCCCCCGUUCCCACGCUGCAGCCUGCCCCUCGACCCCCAGAGCCCAAGGUGCACCGAGCCCAAGUGCCCACAGGCAGCUCGCUGCUCCAGCUGAGGGCCAGACUGUCUGGAAGCCGGAAGAGGAUGAAGUGGAGUGAAGGCUCCGGCCCUGAGAAGCACACUUGUUGACCUUGUGCAUGCUGUGCAGGUGCUCUACCGUGAGCUCCAUCCCAGCCCCAGGAGCAGAGCCUUGCUGGAGGAAGAGAUGUGACUGCCCGAUCACCAGGCAAUAGCAUAGGUGUUGGCUGUGAUCUCAGGAAUGAAAGCUCAUACAAAGAACUGCAGGGAAAGUGGUCAAGAGACUCGAUGCAAGGUUCAAGAUCAGGCAGCAGUGACCUUUGUGACCAGGUGCACCUGCUGGCCUGUGCAGUAAAGGAUGAGGCAUCCAGACGACAGACAGACAGACAGACAGCCGCUGUGGAAGACCGAACCUCUCAGGCACUGCCACCUGGGAACAGGAAAUGCUAAUGGACUGUGCAUCUCAGUGAGAAAGUGUCCUAGAGAGUGUCCCUGUGUGACUAAAGGAACCUGUGGGGAAAGGCAGGCAGUUUGGAGACCCCUGAGAUGCAAAUGAUCCACUCAGGAUUUGCAGUUCUUCUGAAGCAUCAUCAAGAAACACUUAACUGGGAUAAAGCCAAAGGCAUCUGUCAGAGUGUGCGCUCUAGAGCCAAACCUGUAGUCUACCUGGGCAGACCUAAUGCUAUGGAACUGGA